GCUGAAAGCAGGGCUUGGGAGAGGAGUUUACUGGCAGGGGGGAAAAAAAAUGAGAGGAGGGGGGGAUUUGAAAUCCGGAAGUUUGAGGUGCUUUCUUUUGAGGGAUCGGUGAGCUAUACUAUAGUGUCAAAGAUACGAUUUAGAAAAGUUGAAAGUAAGUUGACGGCUUUUGAAAGCUGUACUACUGGAGGUGAGGAAGGGCUUUAGGUGGGGCGCUUUAAGUCCGUGGAACGGGAGUCGAAAAUGGGGGGAGGCGUACGCAGUUUUGUUCGGGUUCCCUGGAAGCUUUUGAAGGGCGUUGUUCUCUCGCAAAGUGAGGAGCGUAUCGUUAUUUUGGAGGACAAAUAAGUCAAAUUAACUGCAGGUAAAAGAGAAGUCUGAGGCAAGAGGCAAAUUAAAGCCAAGCAUAGAGUGACUCAGGGAGGAGCACCCCGGGGCAGGGAGCAGCAGUCGGUUGGGACUCAAGAAAAGGGCGCCGGCUCGGGCGGAGGGAGACUCGGCAGGACUCGCUCCAGGAAAUUCAGAGUAGAAGGAAGCCUUUGAGGUUUUGCUGGCAUUUGUAAUCCUGAAAGCACAUAAAGGUAUCUCCUUGACACUUCAAUCAUUUCUUUGGCUGAUCUGCAGCAGUUCUUCACUGGCAAGCUUUAUGUCCCACUUCUUCCGCUAAAGCUGCCAGUUGAAGAACUGUUGUGGUUGGCCGUUUCCACUCUUGACUGCUGCUGCAGAGGAGAAAAACGAGCAGAAUAUCAAGAAAUGGAUGAAGCAAGUGGUGAAACAAAUGGAGAGUCUUAUCCAUCCCUUUUUUUUUUCCCUUAUUUGUUUAUCUUAAUUGUAUUUUGGUAAGAGUUCAGUUAUUGCUAUGCCUUUCUCCAGUCUCCCAAAAUAUCUCUACUUUAUCAGCUGGGAGAACCAUCCCUGUCAUCCUCUUCAUACGAGAAUUUUUUGCUAUAACAUUGCAGGUUGCUGGGACCUGUCCUGCUGGGGUUUCAGUCGAGGGCUGGAGCUCAUAAGAGAUUCAAUGGAGUUUUGAUUGAAAUUUGUUUAGUUGCUGUCCCCCUGCUGCUUCACUAGGCCAUAGAUACAUGUGUUGUGAAAUGUGAGAGUCGCAGAGUGCUAGUGCCCGUCUCUUUCACUCAGGCUGCAGGACAGAAUACAACCCUGGGCCCAGCACUCCUCCGUUACAAGGCACCUUCACACUGGGAACGAUUUUGGCAGCUCCAGUCAACCUGAUCUUCAAGAGUAUGGGAGGAAAACCCCAAGCAAAGGAAAAAUGUGCAGACUCCUCGGUCGACGCUGGACCUGUUGGCUACGGCACCACCCUGGUUCCCCUCAUCCACUAGUAUUAAGUUCAGCAAGUAAAAAGGCAACAAGUGCCCACUACUUGUUUUAAUUGAUUUAUUUUUUU